rnacentral:rRNA from 1 species
AUUGAACGCUGGCGGCAGGCCUAACACAUGCAAGUCGCACGUGUGGCGGGCGGGUUAGUAAUGUCUGGGAAACUGCCCGAUGGAGGGGGAUCACUACUGUAAACGGUAGCUAAUACCGCAUACCAUCUGAUGUGCCCAGAUGGGAUUAGCUAGUAGGUGGGGUAACGGCUCACCUAGGCGACGAUCCCUAGCUGGUCUGAGAGGAUGACUAGCCACACUGGAACUGAGACACGGUCCAGACACCUACGGGAGGCAGCAGUGGGGAAGAGUGCACAAUGGGCCAAAGCCUGAUGCAGCCAUGCCGCGUGUAUGAAGAAGGCCUUCGGGUUGUAAAGUACUUUCAGCGAGGAGGCGUUACUCGCAGAAGAAGCACCGGCUAACUCCGUGCCAGCAGCCGCGGUAAUAC